rnacentral:rRNA from 1 species
UGCGCAGGCGGAAGGAUAAGUCAGUGGUGAAAUCUCACAGCUCAACUGUGAAACUGCCAUUGAUACUGUUUUUCUUGAAUGCGGUUGAGGUAGGCGGAAUACGUUAUGUAGCGGUGAAAUGCUUAGAUAUAACGUAGAACACCGAUUGCGAAGGCAGCUUACUAAGCCGUAAUUGACGCUGAGGCACGAAAGCGUGGGGAGCGAACA